ACCCCUUUUCCAUAGGGCUGCUACUGUAUCCUAGGGGUCCACUCCAGUCCCUGGUUACCUCGAAUUUUCCAGUACCUGGAUGUAUCACCAGUGAAGGUUAUGAAACAGCAAAAAUGGCAGCCUGCACCCUCCUCUGGGAGCUCCAUCCCAAGAAGAUGUUGGCACUUCCUAGGAAGGAGCCAUCCAUGUCUGAAGAGAAGAAAUGAUAAUUAACUUCAUCAUGUGGAAAGCUUUAGAAGGAAGUAGCUUGUCCUUCUAUCCAAACCCACCUCCUGCUCCUCACCCCCAAUAAAAAUAAAAGCCAAACAAAUAAAACAUUA